rnacentral:rRNA from 4 species
AUUUUACGUCCCCUGCCCUUUGUACACACCGCCCGUCGCUACUACCGAUUGAAUGGCUCAGUGAGGCGUCCGGACUGGCCCAGAGAGGCGGGCAACUGCCACUCAGGGCCGGAAAGCUCUCCAAACUCGGUCAUUUAGAGGAAGUAAAAGUCGUAACAAGGUCUCCGUUGGUGAACCAGCGGAGGGAUCAUUA